rnacentral:rRNA from 1 species
UACGAAGGGGGCUAGCGUUGCUCGGAAUCACUGGGCGUAAAGGGUGCGUAGGCGGGUUUUUAAGUCAGAGGUGAAAUCCUGGAGCUCAACUCCAGAACUGCCUUUGAUACUGAAAGUCUUGAGUAUGGGAGAGGUGAGUGGAACUGCGAGUGUAGAGGUGAAAAUUCGUAGAUAUUCGCAAGAACACCGGCGGCGAAGGCGGCUUCCUGGCCCAUUACUGACGUUCAGGUACGAAAGCGUGGGGAGCAAACAGG